CAACUACUCCCUCUGUCCCAAAUUUCUUGUCUUAGAUUUGUCUAGAUAUGGAUGUAUCUAAUACUAAAAUGUGACUUGAUACAUCUGUAUCUAGACAAAUCUGAGACAAGAAUUUUGGGACGGAGGGAGUACUUU
rnacentral:pre_miRNA from 1 species